GUUCUACCAUCUUCCCAGUUCACAAGUAAGAAAACUGAACCUUUCUUACAUCUUACUUCUUAUUCUUCAAAUCCAGUUGAAAAUGGAUGACACCUUAUCAGAUCAUCAAAGCACAGUAUUACCAGAGUUAUAGUGUUGAAUGUGUUUCAUCUGCACCAUUUCUAAGUAAUAAUUCAUCACAAAUGACAAGAUAGAAUCUCUAGCAAUAAGAUUUUGGGUCAUCGUCAUCCUAUAGACUUCAAAAGAAACACAGGCACUCAAACGUCUGACUCUAAUCAUAAGUUAGCAUAAUAGGAACGAUGGCAAUAGAAGAGUAUGUUUAGCUGAUAUCAUUUGGAAAUGGGAACAUGAGCACGUGAUUACAGCAGAAGGAUCUGGAAACACUGUGGUCCUGAAGUAGCAGAGGAAGAAG
rnacentral:lncRNA from 1 species